UCAUGCCAAAUUACCUCAACAGAAAUUGUAGUUCUCAUCGGGAAAGAAAAUGGGAAGAGUUCUAUUCAACUUGGCAUUCUUGGUGACAUUAAUAGGCAUCAUCUGUUGUUUUGUUGAUGGGACUGAACCAAGAGAGGCGGCGACGACGGCGGCGAAACAAGAAGUUUCAUUGAAAAGGAAUUUCAUACCAGACUUCGCUUGUAUUACGAAUGAGGAUUGCUUUGGCGUUUGUCCUGAACAAUGUGACCGUGUUUUCUGUAAAGAACAAGUUAUCUGCAUGUGUCAGAAAGGCCAUCGAAAAUCAAUUCAGAUAACAUUACCUUGUUAACCUUUCUCCUGUAGGAGAUGAUGUCUAAAAAAAUGAAAUAAUGAAUUUUUAUUUUAUAA